rnacentral:tRNA from 1 species
GGGGUUGUAGCUCAGUUGGUAGAGUGCUUGCCUCCCAUGCACAAGGCCCUGGGUUCAAUCCCCAGCACCACCA